UUCACUCCCUCUCCUCUCCUCCUUACACACAGCAGCCACCAGAAUAGGAUUCCAUGGAGAGAUGAACGCAUGGCGUGUCGGCGACCCGAGCGUGAGUGGCGAUGGACGCGGGGAGGAGCGGUGGCGGCCAGCCCUUGGGUGUGAGGCGCCGGCUGAGGUGGCGGGGAGGAGCGGUGGCGGCCACCGUUGAUGAAGCUGCUGCUCGCGACCGUCCGGCGCUUCGCGGUGGCGUGCAGAGGUGGCCAUGGACGAUGAUGCGACGGUGGCCAGUGGAGAUGGAGAUUGGCAUUGAGGUCUGACUAAGCCUACCUUGACAGCUUGCAUCCAUCCUGCAUUAUAGGAUACAAGAAUAUGCCAUAUUUGGAGAUGAUAAAAUCCACAAACUCAGAAAAUUACUGGAUCAUCUGCAGAUGAGAGGCUCCAUGGUGGAAGUAGAGUUGCAUUGGAUAGCGAUGGAACGUUUGACGUUACAUUUGGGCUAUGGUGUAGUGGUUCUAGAGAUAUUUGGUAUUCAAUUGUAUUGCACUUUAAAACUUGUGCUUCUGAUAUUACAAUGAUUUAUGGAGAUUACUUAUUUGAAUC